rnacentral:rRNA from 1 species
CCUACGGGAGGCAGCAGUGGGGAAUAUUGCACAAUGGGGGAAACCCUGAUGCAGCGACGCCGCGUGAGUGAAGAAGUAUUUCGGUACGUAAAACUCUAUCAGCAGGGAAGAAAAUGACGGUACCUGACUCAGAAGCCCCGUCUAACUACGUGCCAGCAGCCGCGGGAAUACGGCGGGGGCCAGCGUUAUCCGGAUUUACUGGGUGUAAAGGGAGCGUAGACGGCAGCGCAAGUCUGACGGGAAAUCCUAUGGCUUAACCAUGGAACUGCUUUGGACACUGUGAAGCUGGAGUGCAGGAGAGGUAAGCGGAAUUCGUGGUGUAGCGGUGAAAUGCGUAGAUAUUAGGAGGAACACCGGUGGCGAAGGCAGCUUACUGGACUGUAACUGACGUUGAGGCUCGAAAGCGUGGGGAGCAAACAGGAUUAGAUACCCGUGUAGUC